rnacentral:misc_RNA from 1 species
UUUUUUAAAAAAUUUGUGUGGCGCCAAGUCGUUACUGUUGUAUUACAACAGUCAUAGGCCUGUUUCCAUUCUAGACUAUGAUUAUCCAUGAUUCUGCAUGAUAAAAUCAUCAUUACUUGCCAAUAAAACUGAUGAUUUACAUUUUUUUCACUGGUUAGUAAACAUUAAUUAAAAGCAGGAAUAAGUUUAAUAUAAUCCCUAUGAAAAACACACUCUCUCCUUCCACGUGUCAACACACAAGGUUUCCCAGGCAUAUGACUUUGUCCAGUUUAAUAAAUGCAGAUUGACUUGAAAAGAAAAAAAAAAUAAUGA